rnacentral:ncRNA from 1 species
AAAAAUAAUUAUAAGUUUUAAUUUUUAUAGUUAUAAUAAAUAGUUUGAUUCUUGCUAAAAUUAUUAAUUUUUUUAAUUAGCUAAAUGUAAAUUUUAGUAUGAAAAAAAAAUCUAAAAGAUUAAAAAUUUUAAAUCUCAAUAUUUAAUUUUAAUAAAUUAAUUUAUAUUAAAAUUAAAAAUUAAAAAAAAAUUUAAUUAAAAUUGUGCCAGCAAUUGCGGUUAAACAAUUAAAUUUAGUUAAUAUUAUUGAUUAAAAAAUAUAUUUAUAAAUUAUUUUAUUAAAAAAUAUUUUAAUUAGGUGAAAUUUUUUAUUUAUAUUAAAAUUUUGGUUAUAAAAUUAUUUGAAAAUUAGAAGUAAAAAAUAGGAUUAGAUACCCUAGUAUUCUAAUAGUAAAUUUUUGUUAGAGAAAUAUUAGUUUAUUCUUGAAAUUCAAAGAAAUUGGCGGCAAUUAAUUUAAUUAGGGGAAUUUGUUUUAUAAUUGAUGAUCCACGAAAAAUUUUACUUUUAUUAUAUUUUUAUAUCGUUGUUAUUGAAUAUUUUUAAAGAAUAUUUUCAUAAAAAUUAAUAUUUAUAAUAUCAGAUCAAGAUUUAGUUAUAUAAAAGAAAAAAUGAAUUACAAUUUUUUUAUAAUUGGAUUAAUUAUAUGUAAAUUUUUAUGAAAAUGGAUUUAAUAGUAAAAUUAUAUAAAUUUAUAAUUUGAAUUUAUACUUAAUUGUGUACAAACCGUCCGUCGCUCUCAUAAUUGAGAUAAGUCGUAACAAGGUUAGUUUACUAGAAAGUGAAUUUAGAUUA